UCUUCAGAUGAUGAUCCCAAGCCUUCUGGCGAUCUCUUAAAAUAAAGCUUUCCAUGUUUUUAAUAACCAUGGCUUUUAGACACCUCUUUAAAUUCUUAAUGAAUCAUUAAAGAUCAGGGGUUAAAAAAAAGAGCUUUAACAAAGAAAGCAACUUAAAAAAAACUUUCCAUUGAUAUAAGAUGAUACCGGGGAAGGUUUUCCGGUUUGUUCCGGAGGGCUUGUAGCUCAGUUGGUUAGAGCGCGCGCUUGAUAAGCGUGAGGUCGGAGGUUCAAGUCCUCCCAGGCCCACCAAUUACUCUAUCAAUCUAUAAGCGCUUGUGAAAUUUACUCAUAGGGAAUGUCCCUUAUCAAUUUUUAAGAAAUUUACUUUUGCAAAAUUAUGCUCUCUCUUUGGUUUUAAAAUCCGAAUUUUUAAAAACUAAAGUUAAAGUGGUCUCAAGAUAAAACGGUGUUUUGAGACAAAGUGCAAAAAAUAACGAUUUAAGUGAUAAAUAGCGGUUUAAGUGAACUUAAAUUUGAGCGUUUCAAGUGCAUUAUGUUUUUUUAGGGGC
rnacentral:misc_RNA from 1 species